rnacentral:rRNA from 1 species
AUUGAACGCUAGCGGCAGGCCUAACACAUGCAAGUCGAACGAGUGGCGGACGGGUGAGUAAUGUAUGGGAACGUGCCUAAUAGAGGGGGAUAACUACUGGAAACAGUGGCUAAUACCGCAUACCAUCGGAUGUGCCCAUAUGGGAUUAGCUAGUUGGUGGGGUAAAGGCUCACCAAGGCAACGAUCCGUAGCUGGUUUGAGAGGAUGACCAGCCACACUGGAACUGAGACACGGCCCAGACUCCUACGGGAGGCAGCAGUGGGGAAUUUUGGACAAUGGGGGAAAGCCUGAUCCAGCCAUGCCGCGUGUAUGAAGAAGGCCUUCGGGUUGUAAAGUACUUUCAGUCGGGAGGCGUUACCCGCAGAAGAAGCACCGGCUAACUCCGUGCCAGCAGCCGCGGUAAUAC